CCUACGGGAGGCAGCAGUGAGGAAUAUUGGUCAAUGGGCGCUAGCCUGAACCAGCCAAGUAGCGUGAAGGAUGACUGCCCUAUGGGUUGUAAACUUCUUUUAUAUGGGAAUAAAAUGUUCCACGUGUGGGAUUUUGUAUGUCCCAUAUGAAUAAGGAACGGCUAACUCCGUGCCAGCCGCCGCGGUAAUACGGAGUAGCCGAGCGUUAUCCGGAUUUAGUGGGGUUAAAGGGAGCGUAGGUGGAUUGUUAAGUCAGUUGUGAAAGUUUGUGGCUCAACCGUAAAAUUGCAGUUGAAACUGGCAGUCUUGAGUACAGUAGAGGUGGGCGGAAUUCGUGGUGUAGCGGUGAAAUGCUUAGAUAUCACGAAGAACUCCGAUUGCGAAGGCAGUUCACUGGACUGCAACUGACACUGAGGCUCGAAAGUGUGGGUAUCAAACAGGAUUAGAUACCCGGGUAGUC
rnacentral:rRNA from 1 species